rnacentral:rRNA from 2 species
CUCGUAGGUGGUUUGUCGCGUCGUCUGUGAAAUUCCGGGGCUUAACUCCGGGCGUGCAGGCGAUACGGGCAUAACUUGAGUACUGUAGGGGUAACUGGAAUUCCUGGUGUAGCGGUGAAAUGCGCAGAUAUCAGGAGGAACACCGAUGGCGAAGGCAGGUUACUGGGCAGUUACUGACGCUGAGGAGCGAAAGCAUGGGUAGCGAACA